rnacentral:lncRNA from 1 species
CACAAUAUAUGUGUAAAUGAAAGAGAUGUUGUGUGUUGUGAAGAUGAUUUUGAAGCUCUCUAUAUGUGUCCUUUUAUAGGCAAGCAAAGUCUUGGUAUCUUGGAUAUGAAGCAUUGGAUGCUUGGAAACAAAGCCAUAAAAGUGACAUAAAAUGCCCUUAAAGAGAGCCAUAAAAUAGUCAUAAAAUUCUUUUAAGGCAUAGUAAUGAGAGGCAUCUAACAG